AACUUUCUGCGGUGUACGUUGUCUCUGAUAAUUCAACCGACAUAACAGACAUGGGAGUCUGCGUUUAGCAUUGUAUAACAAGCCUUUUCGAGAGGAAGUUAGAAAAUGCUAACAGGAAACCCCCUUUUAAUAAGGCGGGCAUGAAUUAGCUGAGUUGACGGCAUUGCGGGAAAAAC
rnacentral:other from 1 species